rnacentral:rRNA from 1 species
UUAGUAGGCGGUGGAAGAUAAUCCAAAAGGGAUUCCUUCAGUAAUGGCGAAUGAACGGGGAAAAGCUCAGCAAAGAAAUCGAGGACUCCGGCCUUGAGUUGUGGACUUGAGAGGUAUCGCCAAUGGUGGCACAGGUGGGGGCCUCUUGGAAAAGGGCACCACAGAGGGUGUGAGUCCUGUUUGCCAUCUGUAGUCCGCCGUGUACGGCAUGCCUCCUCAGAGUCACGUUCCUUGGAAUUGGAGCGCGAAGGUGGUGGUGGCUUUCAUCUCAAGCUAAGUAUGGGUUCGAGACCGAUAGCAAACAAGUACCAUGAGGGAAAAUUGAAAAGAGCUUUGGAAAGAGAGUUAAAAGUGCCCGAACUUGCUGAUAGGGAAGCGAAGGGAGCUGACGUUGCUUGGUAACAUCUUCUGCGCAAGACUAGGAUGGGUUCUGAUUGCAAUGUGUGUAGUGUUUCUUGCCGUGCGUGUCGAUGCCAAGCAAUGAGUGGAGAGAGCUCCAGGGAUAUGAUUGUUUCUGUCCCCGGGUAGACGAAGGUGCCUGGUUGCAUCCAUUCGUGGGCUGAAAAAUUGGUGGCUGGUUGCAGCAUUCCCUUGCCAAUUAAUGCAAUUGGAGUGUAGCCCUGACAUGCAGACGAG